UUCCAGACUCCUACGGGAGGCAGCAGUGGGGAAUAUUGCACAAUGGGGGAAACCCUGAUGCAGCGACGCCGCGUGAGUGAAGAAGUAUUUCGGUAUGUAAAGCUCUAUCAGCAGGGAAGAAAAUGACGGUACCUGACUAAGAAGCCCCGGCUAACUACGUGCCAGCAGCCGCGGUAAUACGUAGGGGGCAAGCGUUAUCCGGAUUUACUGGGUGUAAAGGGAGCGUAGACGGCAUGGCAAGUCAGAUGUGAAAGCCCGGGGCUCAACCCCGGGACUGCAUUUGAAACUGUCAGGCUGGAGUGCAGGAGAGGUAAGUGGAAUUCCUAGUGUAGCGGUGAAAUGCGUAGAUAUUAGGAGGAACACCAGUGGCGAAGGCGGCUUACUGGACUGUAACUGACGUUGAGGCUCGAAAGCGUGGGGAGCAAACAGGAUUAGAUACCCUGGUAUCC
rnacentral:rRNA from 1 species